GAUGAACGCUGGCGGCGUGCUUAACACAUGCAAGUCGAACGGUGAAACUCUUCGGUGGGGCUCCGUGGGGAACGGGUGAGCAACACGUGGGCAACCUGCCCCCGUCUCUGGGAUAACUCCAAGAAAUUGGGGCUAAUACCGGAUGUUCACCGCUUCCCGCAUGGGUGGUGGUGAAAAGGGUAUCCGGCUGGGGAUGGGCCCGCGGGCUAUCAGCUGGUUGGGGGGGUAGUGGCAUACCAAGGGGACGACGGGUAGCCGGCCUGAGAAGGUGACCAGCGACACUGGGACUAAGGGACGGCCCAGACUCCAACGGGAGGCAGCGGUGGGGAAUAUUACGCAGUGGGCGGGAGCCUGUCACGACGACGCCGCGUGGGGAAUGACGGCCUUCGAGGUAUGAACCACUUUCUGCAUAGACAAAGCGCAAGUGACGGUACCUGCAGAAGAAGCACCGGCCAACUACGUG
rnacentral:rRNA from 1 species